GUCGAGCGGUAGAGAGGUGCUUGCACCUCUUGAGAGCGGCGGACGGGCGAGUAAAGCCUAGGAAUCUGCCUGGUAGUGGGGGAUAACGCUCGGAAACGGACGCUAAUACCGCAUACGUCCUACGGGAGAAAGCAGGGGACCUUCGGGCCUUGCGCUAUCGGAUGAGCCUAGGUCGGAUUAGCUAGUUGGUGAGGUAAUGGCUCACCAAGGCGACGAUCCGUAACUGGUCUGAGAGGAUGAUCAGUCACACUGGAACUGAGACACGGUCCAGACUCCUACGGGAGGCAGCAGUGGGGAAUAUUGGACAAUGGGCGAAAGCCUGAUCCAGCCAUGCCGCGUGUGUGAAGAAGGUCUUCGGAUUGUAAAGCACUUUAAGUUGGGAGGAAGGGCAUUAACCUAAUACGUUAGUGUUUUGACGUUACCGACAGAAUAAGCACCGGCUAACUCUGUGCCAGCAGCCGCGGUAAUACAGAGGGUGCAAGCGUUAAUCGGAAUUACUGGGCGUAAAGCGCGCGUAGGUGGUUCGUUAAGUUGGAUGUGAAAUCCCCGGGCUCAACCUGGGAACUGCAUUCAAAACUGUCGAGCUAGAGUAUGGUAGAGGGUGGUGGAAUUUCCUGUGUAGCGGUGAAAUGCGUAGAUAUAGGAAGGAACACCAG
rnacentral:rRNA from 1 species